UACGUAGGGGGCAAGCGUUGUCCGGAAUCAUUGGGCGUAAAGCGCGUGUAGGCGGUUCGAUUAGUCUGCUGUGAAAGUCAGGGGCUCAACCCUUGAAUGCCGGUGGAUACUGUCGGGCUAGAGUGCGGAAGAGGCGAGUGGAAUUCCUGGUGUAGCGGUGGAAUGCGCAGAUAUCAGGAGGAACACCAAUGGGCGAAGGCAGCUCGCUGGGACGGUACUGACGAC
rnacentral:rRNA from 1 species